rnacentral:rRNA from 1 species
UGAACGCUAGCUACAGGCUUAACACAUGCAAGUCGAGGGGCAGCAUUCCAGUUUGCUUGCAAACUGGAGAUGGCGACCGGCGCACGGGUGAGUAACACGUAUCCAACCUGCCGAUAACUCGGGGAUAGCCUUUCGAAAGAAAGAUUAAUACCCGAUGGCAUAAUAGAACCGCAUGGUUUGAUUAUUAAAGAAUUUCGGUUAUCGAUGGGGAUGCGUUCCAUUAGGCAGUUGGUGGGGUAACGGCCCACCAAACCUUCGAUGGAUAGGGGUUCUGAGAGGAAGGUCCCCCACAUUGGAACUGAGACACGGUCCAAACUCCUACGGGAGGCAGCAGUGAGGAAUAUUGGUCAAUGGACGAGAGUCUGAACCAGCCAAGUAGCGUGAAGGAUGACUGCCCUAUGGGUUGUAAACUUCUUUUAUAUGGGAAUAAAGUGAUCCACGUGUGGAUUUUUGUAUGUACCAUAUGAAUAAGGAUCGGCUAACUCCGUGCCAGCAGCCGCGGUAAUACGGAGGAUCCGAGCGUUAUCCGGAUUUAUUGGGUUUAAAGGGAGCGUAGGUGGACAGUUAAGUCAGUUGUGAAAGUUUGCGGCUCAACCGUAAAAUUGCAGUUGAUACUGGCUGUCUUGAGUACAGUAGAGGUGGGCGGAAUUCGUGGUGUAGCGGUGAAAUGCUUAGAUAUCACGAAGAACUCCGAUUGCGAAGGCAGCUCACUGGACUGCAACUGACACUGAUGCUCGAAAGUGUGGGUAUCAAACAGGAUUAGAUACCCUGGUAGUCCACACAGUAAACGAUGAAUACUCGCUGUUUGCGAUAU